rnacentral:rRNA from 1 species
UACGGAGGGAGCUAGCGUUGUUCGGAAUUACUGGGCGUAAAGCGCACGUAGGCGGCUACUCAAGUCAGAGGUGAAAGCCCGGGCUCAACCCCGGAACUGCCUUUGAAACUAGGUGGCUAGAAUCCUGGAGAGGUCAGUGGAAUUCCGAGUGUAGAGGUGAAAUUCGUAGAUAUUCGGAAGAACACCAGUGGCGAAGGCGACUGACUGGACAGGUAUUGACGCUGAGGUGCGAAAGCGUGGGGAGCAAACAGGG